AGUUUUUUUAUCCUGACCUUUCAAUUUCCUUUCCCCAAUUACGGCUGUUUCUUGGGGGAAGACAUGAUUGCUCUUAUACUCAUUUUCGUGUGAAGUGUGUCAAGUCUGUGUGCCCUCUUCCCAACCUGAGGGGUCAGCUCCUUGAGAACGAGGUGCCUGCCGCCUGAUUCCUGGUUCCUCCCCUGGACCACAGCAGACGCCGGAGUUCGUGUCUGCUAAUGGCUCAUUUCAUUCCAGUGCCGCAGCCAGGCUAGCGAGUUCGAAGCCGUGAGCACAAUUUGCAAUUGUGUCCUGUGAGACGGGAACACGUGAUGCCAGUUGGGCAGGGACCACAAAUGACUCAGAUUCUGAAGCAGUUUGUUCUCCUGGUGGCGAUUCCUAAAGUCUCCAGAAUGACAGCUCUCUGCGGACCGGAGCUCCCUCCCUCCUGGUCGCCGCGGCAUCCCUGUGGCCUGGCAAGGCCUGAAGGACCUGACGAGUCCACAGGGACGAGAGGAUCCAGGGCGUCCCAGAGAGGGAAGCCCCUUGGACAAGGACAGUCCUCACUCUGGAGCCGGGACACGACUCCCUCGUGGAAAGUUCACAAGGGACCAGCCCCAUGGGAGCACUGUUCCGGAAGCACUGUUCUGGGAGCACUUCUCUGGGAGCACUGUUCUGGGAGCACUCUUCUGACCACAACAGGUGGCGCAGAGGGAGUCUGACAGGAGCUUCAUGACUCGAGAAUCCUGGCAGGUAUACAGGUGUCCCCCAAGUGACAGGCGACGCCUGGAGACCUGACGGAGUGGCCCAGGCCCCACAGGGAGAUGCCCUUCGAGCUAGGUCUUCCAAGGAGCCCCAGGCCAAGCUGAAAUCCGUCACGCCUGAGCAAACGUGUCCUUCUUGGGAAGUACCCGUGCUGUUUAAGUGCCUUCUGUAUGCAAAGUUUGUCCUUUUUAGCUGUUUUGCUAAAUGUUCAUAAUGGGUAACUUCGAAAAUUGCUUCCACAUGCUUCCUUGCCUUCUUGGGGAAAAGAAAGGGCACAGAAUUUUCCCUAGCACCCCGGGGACCAUGGGAUCUGCGUGCUGCUGUGUGGCCUGACCCCAGGGCUGCAAGCAGCACCGCCAGGCUGUCGGCGCACACUGCGGAGCCUGGACCGCUAGGCUGUUUGGGUUCCUUACUCUAGUUCUGUUCCGGUUGUCCAGUCAUCCGGGCUGGCCCCUCUUCCUGUCCUCGUCGGCAUGUCUGCCCUGGCCUUCUGUGGCGGCUUCAUCUGCUGAGGGACAAGGCGGGACCAGAGCACCCAGCUCAUUCCAGUUCUGUCCACUUACCCCUCCGGCAGUGGCCCGUGUGAGAUAGGAGUGCCGACUUCUGGUUUUUAAGAUUUUUAUUAUUUUUGGUUCACUUGGGUGGCUCAGUCGGUUAAGCAUCUGCCUUUGGUUCAGGUCAUGAUCCCAGGGUCCCAGGACUGAGCCCUGUGUCCAGCUCCCUGCUCAGCGGGGAGCCUGCUUCUCCCUCUCCUGUUUCCCCCCCCACCCGCUUGUGCGCUCUCUCUCACUCCCCCCCAAAUAAAUAAAUAAAAUCUUUAAAAAAAAAAAAAAAAGAUUACGGGGCGCCUGGGUGGCUCAGUAGGUUAAAGCCUCUGCCUUCGGCUCGGGUUGUGAUCCCAGGGUCCUGGGAUCGAGCCCGGAAUGAGGCUCUCUGCUCAGCAGGGAGCCUGCUUCCUCCUCCCUCUCUCUCU